GUCACUCUUGAAGUCUUAGUGGCGCAGCUAACGCACUAAGUAGACCGCCUGGGGAGUACGGCCGCAAGGUUAAAACUCAAAUGAAUUGACGGGGGCCCGCACAAGCGGUGGAGCAUGUGGUUUAAUUCGGCGCAACGCGAAGAACCUUACCUGGCCUUGACAUGCAGAGAACUUUCCAGAGAUGGAUUGGUGCCUUCGGGAACUCUGACACAGGUGCUGCAUGGCCGUCGUCAGCUCGUGUCGUGAGAUGUUGGGUUAAGUCCCGUAACGAGCGCAACCCCUAUCCCUAGUUGCUAGCAGUUCGGCUGAGAACUCUAGGGAGACUGCCGGUGACAAACCGGAGGAAGGUGGGGAUGACGUCAGGUCAUCAUGGCCCUUACGGCCAGGGCUACACACGUGCUACAAUGGUGCGUACAGAGGGCUGCAAACCCGCGAGGGGGAGCUAAUCUCACAAAACGCAUCGUAGUCCGGAUCGGAGUCUGCAACUCGACUCCGUGAAGUCGGAAUCGCUAGUAAUCGCGAAUCAGAAUGUCGCGGUGAAUACGUUCCCGGGCCUUGUACACACCGCCCGUCACACCAUGGGAGUNGAGUGCACCAGAAGUGGUUAGUCUAACCUCCGGGAGGA
rnacentral:rRNA from 1 species